GGCUUAUUGACUACAAGACCCUGAAAAAUGUCAUCUGGAUGCGAGUGUGCGCUGCGGAUGUUACGAGAGCUUAGGAGAGAGAAAUACUUGCGUUCCAAGAUCUGGAGCCAUCCAUCCAACGUAGAGCAGAUGACCUGCUUGCUACGAUAGUGCGUGCAAGAACAGGCCCUCCGUUUUUCCUGAACUUCUGAAAAAGUUUCCAGAACAGUUUGCUUCAAGCUGGUGAGGAAAAUGCUGUUGCUGGUGUUCAGAGUUUGCGGCAAAGUGGGACUCUCUUCCCUGGAGGCGUUCGUGAGCUGUAUUUAGAGAAAGCCACCAAGAAUCCAAGAAGUUCCUCAAAAAGGCAGUUGUGGAGCAUUAGACAGCGCACUUGACCUAACGCCGCCGCAUCUGCACCGCGUUCCUAGCUGGCCUGCUGUCCGCUCUAAGGGCUAUUACAGUGCCUCGUGGACCAGCUAUCUCCUCUGCGCUGGAUGCUGCAGGACACAGCUGUAUCUCCGGUGACCCAGCACAGCCAUGAAAAGAGCACCCGGGUGUGCAGUCGUGAGGCAGAACAGGCGAUGAACAC